UACGGAGGGUGCGAGCGUUGUCCGGAAUCAUUGGGCGUAAAGGGCGCGUAGGUGGCGGGACAAGCGUGCGGUGAAAGCCUGGGGCUCAACCCCGGGUCGGCCGUGCGAACUGUUUUGCUUGAGCACUGUAGAGGCAGGCGGAAUUCCUGGUGUAGCGGUGAAAUGCGUAGAUAUCUGGAGGAAUACCGGUGGCGAAGGCGGCAUCCUGGACCGAGAUUGACACUGAUGAGCGAAAGCUAGGGGAGCAAACGGG
rnacentral:rRNA from 1 species